rnacentral:rRNA from 1 species
UACAGAGGUCUCAAGCGUUGUUCGGAUUCAUUGGGCGUAAAGGGUGCGUAGGUGGCGAGGUAAGUCGGAUGUGAAAGCUCGGAGCUCAACUCCGAAAUGGCAUUGGAAACUACCUUGCUCGAGGGUUGGAGGGGGGACUGGAAUACUUGGUGUAGCAGUGAAAUGCGUAGAUAUCAAGUGGAACACCAGUGGCGAAGGCGAGUCCCUGGACAACUCCUGACACUGAGGCACGAAAGCUAGGGGAGCAAACAGG